rnacentral:rRNA from 1 species
UACGAGGGGGACAAGUGUUGUUCGGAAUUACUGGGUGUAAAGGGAGCGCAGGUGGUUCUGUAAGUCAGAGGUGAAAUGCCCACGCUUAACGUGGUGCCCUGCCUUUGAAACUGCAGAACUUGAAUGUUGGAGAGGGUAAUGGAAUUCCAGGUGUAGCGGUGGAAUGCGUAGAUAUCUGGAAGAACACCAGUUGCGAAGGCGGUUACCUGGCCAAACAUUGACACUCAGGCUCGAAAGCCGGGGGA